UACGAAGGGGGCAAGCGUUGUUCGGAAUUACUGGGCGUAAAGGGCGCGUAGGCGGCCUGCUAAGUCGAACGUGAAAUCCCCGGGCUUAACCCGGGAACUGCGUCCGAUACUGGUGGGCUUGAAUCCGGGAGAGGGAUGUGGAAUUCCAGGUGUAGCGGUGAAAUGCGUAGAUAUCUGGAGGAACACCGGUGGCGAAGGCGGCAUCCUGGACUGUAACUGACGCUGAGGCGCGAAAGCGUGGGGAGCAAACAGG
rnacentral:rRNA from 1 species